CUGUGGCAAACCUAGCCACUUGGACUAAACAGAGACAAUAUGUUUUUAAGGGUUGCCUGUAUCUUUAAUACCAUUGUAUAUGUGCCUGGUUGUAAUCUGCUGUAUCCUGUAUGCUGUAUUGCUUGUAUUGGCUAUCUGGCGAAAGCAGAUAGUCAUAUUCUAUUUCGUUUCACGAACGGCACCUUUGCGAGCCGUUCGUGAACCGAAUGAACUAUCUUCUAAUAGCCCACACACUAAGGGACGUGUGGCGCUUGUUAACCGAUUGCAACAAUUGGUAAUUAGAGGCUCUCCUAGGUGGCCGCCGUUCGGCUAUCGACCACGCGGCGGUGGGCCAUCUUGGAUCCUUUGUUCCCCAGCGGUGUUUGGUUGUCGAGCGCAUGGAACUGAAAAUGGCUACUUGACGACGCGAACACUGCUGGGCUUCCAGACCGUUCGGGAGUCCCUGUGGGAGUAUCCAGUGGGAGUAUCCCUCUCGUGCAGCAAUGCCUGAUGGGAGAAAUGCCCAAAAUGUGAAGUCCCCCAUGUAGUCCCCUACUGUGUUACCCCUGCUAAGGCAAUAUAGAAACCCUUUCCAUGGGGACUUGUAUAAAUACUGGAGCUGCAAAUAAAGACCUCAGUUGACUCCCAGAACUGUGUUUCGUCCGGUUACUGGGGGAUUUGGGAUAUUGCCUUGCUUUUCAGCGCUGAAUAUUGCCGGUCUGCUACAGUAUCUUAGCAUGGCCUAUGAUUAGGAUCCACACUGGCAGUCACACUAUAGGUAUCUUAGCAUGGCCUAUGAUUAGGGUUUACACUGGCAGUUACACUAUAGGUAUCUUAGCAUGGCCUAUGAUUAGGGUUUACACUGGCAGUUACACUAUAGGUAUCUUAGCAUGGCCUAUGAUUAGGAUCCAUACUGGCAGUCACACUAUAGGUAUCUUAGCAUGGCCUAUGAUUAGGGUCCACACUGGCAGUCACACUAUAGGUAUCUUAGCAUGGCCUAUGUUUAGGGUCCACGCUGGCAGUCAC